rnacentral:rRNA from 1 species
CAGUCGCCGCGGUAAUACGUAGGGUGCGAGCGUUAAACGGAAUUACUGGGCGUAAAGCGUGCGCAGGCGGUUGUGUAAGACAGGUGUGAGAUCCCCGGGCUUAACCUGGGAACUGCGCUUGUGACUGCACAGCUAGAGUAUGGCAGAGGGGGGAGGAAUUCCACGUGUAGCAGUGAAAUGCGUAGAGAUGUGGAGGAACACCGAUGGCGAAGGCAGCCCCCUGGGCCAAUACUGACGCUCAUGCACGAAAGCGUGGGGAGCAAACAGGAUUAGAUACCCCCGUAGUCCCUGUCUCUUAUAC